UGCGUAGGUGGCAAGCGUUAUCCGGAUUUAUUGGGUGUAAAGGGCGUGUAGGCGGGAGCGCAAGUCAGAUGUGAAAACUCAGGACUCAACCCUGAGCCUGCAUUUGAAACUGUGUUUCUUGAGUGCUGGAGAGGCAAUCGGAAUUCCGUGUGUAGCGGUGAAAUGCGUAGAUAUACGGAGGAACACCAGUGGCGAAGGCGGAUUGCUGGACAGUAACUGACGCUGAGGCGCGAAAGCGUGGGGAGCAAACAGG
rnacentral:rRNA from 1 species